CAGAGACCGUGUAUGUUUGCUCUUGUUAUACCACAAGUCUCAAGCUAGGCAGCUCUUUAAUAACUAUAAUUAAAUUGUUGAACUAUAAUCAACGGAUGUAAUUUCAAAACAAAAUUGCUGCACUCAGAUUCCCAGAACUGUGCUGAAGGGAAAUCGAAGAGAAAGCACCUUGUAUGCUGGCCAGGGAAGAGAGCUUGGUGAAGAACCAAGGGAAGUAUAGCUUCAUGCUUCACACCCAAACACAGACCCAGAAGCCCUUGGUGGCUCCAUGCUGAGUUGGACCUGGGACUUUCCAAGGAGGGGCCAUCGGGUUGAAGGAGUCUCUUAGAUUGAAUCCUUUCUUUUGCCAAGUCUGAGGUUCAGGUGCAGUAAUAAGGGGUGAGAACAAAUCUCCCAGAAGCCCCUCCAGCCCCACAUCUCCAGGCCGUCCUGAAGAGCACCAUAAGUACUGAGCUACAGUGAGUUUUAUCCAGGAACCCUGUCUCCUAGGGGAGAGUGACUGCAUUCCAGGGACUUAGAGAGCAAAGACUAAAGACUCUUCUCAUGCUGAGACUGUCAGACUUGCCACGCAGUGGGAGCCACCGUAGACCCUGGAGGACAGAGGAUCUACUGCCAAGGCCCCUGUCCCCUUGCUAAGGGAGGUCCCACAGGAGAGAAGGGGGUAAGAAGGUUACAAGUCAUUAUUAAAGGAAACCAAGGUGGGAACUCAAGGCAUGGAUUGAGGUAAGAACUGAAACAGAGCCCCUAGAGCAGUGGCUCU
rnacentral:sRNA from 1 species